ensembl:lncRNA
GCAGGAUGGUAGCUCUCCAGGAGCAGGGUUGGAGAUCCCUGGUCUAAGGCCUUCCAGGAUGUAGAUGCAUUUGUUUCUUCAUCAGAACAGAAACAAGCUCAUCUACAUGUUGGAUGGCCCGAGGAUAUCAGGGAGCAUGGAGGUGUAUUUUACUCCAUAUCUGUCUUCACAAACAGGGAGGUAAAUCCAGAUAAAACCAGGAUCUUCAAAAAUACCAACGGGUAAUACCGAGGUGGAACAUGUCACAGGCUGGUGCUACAGUGAAUCCACCACCCAAGGCAUUUCAGCAUUCAUGCUUCCCUCACACCUUCGUGGGCUCUUUUCUGCAAAAGAGCCAUCUACACAUAUCUAUAUUGUGUAUAUGUUUUGCUGUUUAUCCGUUGAAGCUUGAUUGACACAAGCUUGUUACUCAGAGGCAUGUUACAAGGC